rnacentral:piRNA from 1 species
UGCUAAUUUCUGGUUGCUUUACUAAACAAG